AAACUUUCAACAAUGGAUCUCUUGGUUCUGGCAUCGAUGAAGAACGCAGCGAAAUGCGAUAAGUAGUGUGAAUUGCAGAAUUCAGUGAAUCAUCGAAUCUUUGAACGCACAUUGCGCCCCUUGGUAUUCCAUGGGGCAUGCCUGUUCGAGCGUCAUUUGA
rnacentral:rRNA from 1 species